UUAGUUUGAUAAUUUAACUGAAUUUGAUCAUGACUUUCAGUAAGUCUCUAAAAGGAAAGUUUGGAAUUCAUAAUAGAAUUUAUCUCAAUAUUCGGCACUCUGGGCUGAACCCCCCGCGGGGCUUUUAAAGGAAUUUAUUAAAGAGAGUCCUUCACUUCCCUUUGGAAUGUGAUUAAUUUAUGUGUUAUAAAAUAAUUCCUAAGAAAAGUUAAAAUGAGAAAAGUAAUUUCAGUAAAUUUUACAUAAUCCAUCUUAUUAAUUAUCAAACCCCC
rnacentral:RNase_P_RNA from 1 species